rnacentral:rRNA from 1 species
UACAGAGGUGGCAAGCGUUGUUCGGAAUUACUGGGCGUAAAGGGCGCGUAGGCGGUCUUGCAAGUCCUGUGUGAAAUCCCUCGGCUCAACUGAGGAACUGCACAGGAAACUGCUUGGCUUGAGUUCGGGAGAGGGAAGCGGAAUUCCGGGUGGUAGCGGUGAAAUGCGUAGAUAUCCGGAGGAACACCGGUGGCGAAGGCGGCUUCCUGGACUGACACUGACGCUGAGGCGCGAAAGCUAGGGGAGCAAACAGG